ensembl:snRNA U2 U2 spliceosomal RNA
AUCGCUUCUCGGCUCCUUGGAGCUAAGAUCAAAGCGUAGUAUCUGUUCUUAUCAGUUUAAUAUCUGAUAUGUUCUCGAUGUGAGAACUUCAUAUUAAAUGGAUUUUUGGAACAGGGAGAUGGAAUAGAAGCUUGCUUCUUCCACUCCAUGCAUCAAUCUGGUAUUGCAGUACUUCCAGGUAUGGUGCGCCUCCC